GGAUUAGUGGCGAACGGGUGAGUAACACGUGGAUAAUCUGCCUUGCACUCUGGAAUAAGCCUGGGAAACUGGGUCUAAUACCGGAUAUGAUCCCAUAGAGCAUUCUGAGGGAUGGAAAGUUUUCGGUGCAAGAUGAGUCCGCGGCCUAUCAGUUUGUUGGUGGGGUAAAAGCCUACCAAGACUAUGACGGGUAGCCGGCCUGAGAGGGUGAUCGGCCACACUGGGACUGAGACACGGCCCAG
rnacentral:rRNA from 1 species